AACGAGCUGGUGGCAAAAAGCGAUGUCAGGUUUCACAGCUAUAAAAACUGACGAUCAAACGACGAGAGACGCCGCGUUUAGCGGGCUGCCUGAACGCCGGUUGUCGGGAAGGGGCUGCUCUGUCGGGGGUGCAGUGGCAGAAGCAGCACCAGGUGUCCGCCUGCAGAGGACAGAAAAGCUCCAAAGAGCCUGACUUGGAAAGUAUCCAUUUUCCCACAGCUUUUCAAUCUCCAAUACUUUUCACACCCUGUUAGGAGUUAAUGCCGCCGAAACCGCUAAACGCUUCCGUGCCUGAAGGUACGCCUCGCCGGAGGCUGCGCCUGCCGCCCCGCAGCACCCGGGGGCAGGCCGCGCCGCCGUGGCGGUGAAUACCUCCGCCUCUGCGGUUUUUUCCCUGGUGGAAAUUCCUCGGAUGCUUCGUGCUCAGGAUCACACAUCGGGCCUGCACUCUUUGCAAAGGCUUCAAAGGGCAGAUCCGAGAGCAGCAACAGUGGGAGUAAACCACCUCUUCCUCCUUAACCCCUCGCCGAAGGCGCGGCUUCUCCGCCUGGACUCAGCUCCGCGGGGGAGAAGGACGACGGUGCACACUUAGCUGGGCUGGGACUGAGCACGGCUAAGUGUUCUGCGCGUUCAUUCGGGUGUCUUUGCUUAAAUACCCAUACAUAUGUGUGUAAAAUCACAUCCACAUGUGCGAUUAUUGUAAGUUAAAUCAAUACAAUCGAAUAUAUAUUAUUUUAGUUAUUUUAUUAAAUAACAGUGAGUCAGUCCCACAGCUUCUCAUUUGCUUCAUGCGCUUGGAAACCUCCAAGGAAUACAGAGUGUGGAAUGCUUAGAUAUACACUUCACAUAUUAAAAAUGUACAAACUAAUACGAACACUUCGUACAAUC